rfam:Schistosoma curassoni strain Dakar, Senegal genome assembly, scaffold: SCTD_scaffold0001677
AUCCAGCUAACGAGUUCUAAAUAGAACGAAAUACCCAUCCUGGAU